UCCUUUUCCGUAAAGGUUUGGUGGCCACAAG
rnacentral:piRNA from 1 species